GGCUCCGACCACAACCACAGCGGCUCCGACCACAACCACAGCGGCUCCAACCACAACCACAGUGGCCCCAACCACAACUACAGAGGCUCCAACCACAACUACAGAGGGUCCAACCACAAGCACAGUGGCUCCAACAACAACCACAGCGUCUGCAACCACAACAACAGCAGCUACAACCACAAUUACUGCUACUUCAACCACAACAACAAAUUCUCCAACCAAAACCACUGCACCUACAGCCUUAAUAAGGCUGCUGAUUUUUAAAUCUGAUGAAGUAUUCACCACAGAUUUGGCAGACCCAUCAACAUCAGCAUUCCAAACACGUUCUGGACACAUAAGGAAUAGUCUUGACCCACUUUUCAGAAAUGUGUUCCCUUCAUUCAAAAAGACUGGAGCUAUGGCAUUCAGAGCGGGCUCAAUCAUCAACUCUGUGGACCUUGAAUUUGAGUCAUCUUCUACUCCUAAUGAUACACUUGUCUCAGAGACGUUGGUUAACCAGCCUUCAAUAAUGGCAGAAUUUCACAUAGAUCCUGCGACCGUUUCUGUCAGCAACACAGUAACUGACACCACAACGACAGCUGCUCCAACUACAACCACAGAGGCUCCAACUAUAACCACAGCGGCUCCUACCAAAACCACAGAAGAUCCAACUACAACCACAGCGGCUCCAACCACAACAACAGCUGCUCCAACUACAACCACAGCUACUCCAACCACAACCACAGCUUCUCCAACCACAA